rnacentral:rRNA from 1 species
CUGGCCGCUGCUUAACAUGCAGUCGAACGGUAGAGUAGCAAUACUCGAGAGUGGCGAACGGGUGAGUAAUAUAUCGGAACGUGCCCAGUCGUGGGGGAUAACGUAAAGAAAUUUACGCUAAUACCGCAUACGAUCUAAGGAUGAAAGCGGGGGACUUCGCAAGAGGCCUCGCGCGAUUGGAGCGGCUGAUAUCAAAUUAGGUUGUUGGUGAGGUAAAAGCUCACCAAGCCGACAAUCUGUAGCUGGUUUGAAAGAACGACCAGCCACACUGGGACUGAAACACGGCCCAAACUCCUACGGGAGGCAGCAGUGGGGAAUUUUGGACAAUGGGCGAAAGCCUGAUCCAGCAAUGCCGCGUGUGGGAAAAAGGCCUUCGGGUUGUAAACCACUUUUGUACGGAACGAAACGGUUCGCCUUAAUACGGCGGGCUAAUGACGGUACCGUAAAAAUAAGCACCGGCUAACUACGUGCCAGCAGCCGCGGUAAUACGUAGGGUGCGAGCGUUAAUCGGAAUUACUGGGCGUAAAGCGUGCGCAGGCGGUUAUAUAAGACAGUUGUGAAGUCCCCGGGCUCAACCUGGGAAUUGCAUCUGUGACUGUAUAGCUAGAGUACGGUAGAGGGGGAUGGAAUUCCGCGUGUAGCAGUGAAAUGCGUAGAUAU